AUACGGAGGGUGCAAGCGUUACUCGGAAUCACUGGGCGUAAAGGACGCGUAGGCGGGUUGGUAAGUCAGGUGAGAAAUCCUACAGCUUAACUGUAGAACUGCACUUGAAACUACCAACCUAGAGUAUGGGAGGGGGAGAUGGGAUUAGUGGUGUAGGGGUAAAAUCCGUAGAUAUCACUAGGAAUACCGAAAGCGAAGGCGAUCUCCUGGAACAUAACUGACGCUAAGGCGUGAAAGCGUGGGGAGCAAACAGGAUUAGAAACCCCGGUAGUCC
rnacentral:rRNA from 1 species